rnacentral:rRNA from 1 species
GAUGAACGCUGGCGGCGUGCCUAAUACAUGCAAGUCGAGCGAACGGACGAUAAGCUUGCUUCUCUGAUGUUAGCGGCGUACGGGUGAGUAACACGUGGAUAACCUACCUAUAAGACUGGGAUAACUUCUGGAAACCGUAGCUAAUACCGGCUAAUAUUUUGAACCGCAUGGUUCAAAAGUUAAAGACGGUCUUGCUGUCACUUAUAGAUGGAUCCGCGCUGCAUUAGCUAGUUGGUAAGGUAACGGCUUACCAAGGCAACGAUGCAUAGCCGACCUGAGAGGGUGAUCGGCCACACUGGAACUGAGACACGGGCCAGACUCCUAAGGGAGGCAGCAGUAGGGAAUAUUCCGCAAUGGGCGAAAGCCUGACGGAGAAACGCCGCGUGAGUGAAGAAGGUCUUCGGAUCGUAAAACUCUGUUAUUAGGGAAGAACAUAUGUGUAAGUAACUGUGCACAUCUUGACGGUACCUAAUCAGAAAGCAACGGCUAACUACGUG